GAGGAAGAGAAAAUUAAGGUGGAUCAAGAAUGUGCUCAGAAUCUCGUCUGAAGAUUUCUGCAUCAGUAACUGAGGAGCAAAGGAAAUCUACCCAGUGGCCCUCCAGCAGAUUUCUCCAUGUAUCUAACUGGCCACAACAUUGCCUCCCUACAUUUAAUGGAUGUUGAGAAAGAUGUUAGGAGACAAGCACACAGAAGGAACACUGUGGAAGCAAACAGAACGAUCUGAAUUCAGAUUGCAUACCUGCAUUAGAAAGCCCUCCUCGCUGGGUGAUUUUCUCUAUGGCGGUCUU